AAAUUGAAGAGUUUGAUCAUGGCUCAGAUUGAACGCUGGCGGCAGGCCUAACACAUGCAAGUCGAGCGGUAGCACAGAGAGCUUGCUCUCGGGUGACGAGCGGCGGACGGGUGAGUAAUG
rnacentral:rRNA from 1 species